rnacentral:ncRNA from 1 species
GAAUGAUUGGGCGUAAAGCGUCUGUGUGUGGCAUUUUAAGUUUGUUGUCAAAUCUCAGGGCUUAACCUUGGAUAGGCAGUGGAAACUACCAAGCUGGAGUACGGUAGGAGCAGAGGGAAUUUCCGGUGUGGAGUAGGGAAAUGCGUAGAGAUCGAACAGAACAUCAACGGCAAAAGCACUCUGCUGGACUGACACUGACACAGAGAGACGAAAGCUAGGGGAGCGAAUGGGAUUAGAUACCCCAUUUGUCUUAGCCGUAAACAAUGGAUACGACCGUGCAAUGCUGUAGCUAACUGUAACUCACA